UCCUCCCGGUAAGCGGAUUACACAGCCAGGCAGCAGACUGCUGUACCUCUCCACCCUGCGUAAAAGUAGCCGGUUGAGGAGUUAAAUCGAAACUGACUGCACGUGCCUCCUCUUCCUCGCGGCCUCAGCCUCCGCCUCUCCCACCCAACAAAGCCCAGCUGUCCUCUGGAUCGGCGCAGAGGCGUCCAUCCCUCCUUGAAAGCCGGUGCGCUCCCGCAGACGCCCGCCCGCCUGUGCGCUCCGGUGUGAGGGCUAAAACGCUGGAUGGUCUGUUUGUGUGGCAGAUUUGGCCCCGCCUUAGGAGCUGCCCUUGUGGGACAUUAGCAACUGUAUGCUUGAAGAUGGACAAAUUCUAAUUUCUCCAGAGGAAGAGGUGUGGAGAGAAGGAGUACAUCAGCUUUAUGAACGAAUUCCUGCAGCAGCACUGGGAUGGAAUGAGAUAAAUCCCAAUGUCCUCCGUUGGUGGCGAUGUGGAUCUGCCUCUACGCCCGGCUGUGCUCCAUGGCCUUCUGGUAGUCAUCAUCUAUCAGAGGGACCAGAUAGGACAGAAAAGACACGAGUCCAGUUUGGUUGUUCGUUGCAAAAGUUUGUGUAACUCUUGCAGUAUUUAACAUUUAUGACAGAGCCUGAGCUGGACAUGUCAAAGCGCCUGGAGGACUUCAUUAUCCAAAGCCAGGACCAGAAUGCAAUGCUGCAGGCUGAGGUGACCAAGAUCCGGAAUCAGCUGUCUGUUCGAGAGGAGCAGCUCGCCAGCGCCACCUUCAUGUAAAACAAUAGAGCCUAAAAGUAAUGUGCAUGUUGCAUUUGUCAGCAAGUUUUCCAGUUGUUUGAUUUAAAAAAUUUAAAAUAUGCAUAUCCUGUAUUCCACACUUUAUAACUUUAAUUAGUCUCAUAAAGAUGAAUAAAGCUGUUAAUACUUCAACUGGACCGGGUGUAGAAAGCUGUAAGCUAGGCUGUGUUCUAACUGUUAUUACUAAUUAGCAGUCAAAUAUUUGAUGGUUCCAUAGCAUUUUGGUGUUCUUGUCUACAUGAACAUGUCUUCUAUCUGUCACAGGCUCGGUGUGAUUGAGCAAUUAAGAAUAUAUAUAAUGGGACCAGGAACAAUAGACAAUGUAAUAAAGUGACUGUGAUUAACUAACUCAAAAAAGGGGAUUCCUGACAAUUAAAUUUUAGA